rnacentral:rRNA from 1 species
CAGUAGCCGCGGGAAUACGGAGGGAGCUAGCGUUGUUCGGAAUUACUGGGCGUAAAGCGCACGUAGGCGGUUAUUCAAGUCAGAGGUGAAAGCCCGGGGCUCAACCCCGGAACUGCCUUUGAAACUAGAUGACUGGAAUCUUGGAGAGGUCAGUGGAAUUCCGAGUGUAGAGGUGAAAUUCGUAGAUAUUCGGAAGAACACCAGUGGCGAAGGCGACUGACUGGACAAGUAUUGACGCUGAGGUGCGAAAGCGUGGGGAGCAAACAGGAUUAGAUACCCCGGUAGUCCCUGUCUCUUAUAC